rnacentral:rRNA from 1 species
CCUACGGGAGGCAGCAGUGAGGAAUAUUGGUCAAUGGACGAGAGUCUGAACCAGCCAAGUAGCGUGAAGGAUGACUGCCCUAUGGGUUGUAAACUUCUUUUAUAUGGGAAUAAAACGUUCCACGUGUGGGAUUUUGUAUGUACCAUAUGAAUAAGGAUCGGCUAACUCCGUGCCAGCAGCCGCGGUAAUACGGAGGAUCCGAGCGUUAUCCGGAUUUAUUGGGUUUAAAGGGAGCGUAGGUGGAUUGUUAAGUCAGUUGUGAAAGUUUGCGGCUCAACCGUAAAAUUGCAGUUGAAACUGGCAGUCUUGAGUACAGUAGAGGUGGGCGGAAUGCGUGGUGUAGCGGUGAAAUGCUUAGAUAUCACGAAGAACUCCGAUUGCGAAGACAGUUCACUGGACUGCAACUGACACUGAGGCUCGAAAGUGUGGGUAUCAAACAGGAUUAGAUACCCCAGUAGUC